rnacentral:rRNA from 1 species
GACGAACGCUGGCGGCGUGCUUAACACAUGCAAGUCGAACGGAAAGGCCCUGCUUUUGUGGGGUGCUCGAGUGGCGAACGGGUGAGUAACACGUGAGUAACCUGCCCUUGACUUUGGGAUAACUUCAGGAAACUGGGGCUAAUACCGGAUAGGAGCUCCUGCUGAUGGAUGGGGGUGGAAAGGUUUCGCCGGUUGGGAAUGGAAUAGCGGCUUAUGGGCUUGUUGGGUGGGUAGUGGCUUACCAUGGCUUGGAAGGGUAGCCGGCCUGCGAGGGUGACCGGCCACAUUGGGACUGAGAUACGGCCCAGACUCCUACGGGAGGCAGCAGUGGGGAAUAUUGCACAAUGGGCGGAAGCCUGAUGCAGCAACGCCGCGUGCGGGAUGACGGCCUUCGGGUUGUAAACCGCUUUCGCCUGUGACGAAGCGUGAGUGACGGUAAUGGGUAAAGAAGCACCGGCUAACUACGUG